ensembl:misc_RNA Metazoa_SRP Metazoan signal recognition particle RNA
GCCAGGCAUGGUGAUGCAUGCCUGUAAUCCCAGCUACUCAGGAGGCUGAGGUGGGAGGAUCGCUUGAGCCCAGGAGGCAGAGGUUGCAGUGAGCUGAUGCAGCGCCAUUGCACUCCAGCCUGGGCGACACAGCAAGAUCCUGUCUCAA